CCUACGGGAGGCAGCAGUGGGGGAUAUUGCACAAUGGGGGGAACCCUGAUGCAGCGACGCCGCGUGGGUGAAGAAGCGCCUCGGCGCGUAAAGCCCUGUCAGCAGGGAAGAAAAUGACGGUACCUGAAGAAGAAGCCCCGGCUAACUACGUGCCAGCCGACGCGGUAAUACGUAGGGGGCAAGCGUUAUCCGGAUUUACUGGGUGUAAGGGGGGCGCAGACGGCGAUGCAAGCCAGGAGUGAAAGCCCGGGGCCCAACCCCGGGACUGCUCGUGGAACUGCGUGGCUGGAGUGCAGGAGGGGCAGGCGGAAUUCCUGGUGUAGCGGUGAAAUGCGUAGAUAUCAGGAGGAACACCGGUGGCGAAGGCGGCCUGCUGGACUGCAACUGACGUUGAGGCCCGAAAGCGUGGGGAGCAAACAGGAUUAGAUACCCCUGUAGUC
rnacentral:rRNA from 1 species